AUGUAAAUAAAAUAAUAACAUAUUUUUGCAUGCAGUUGAAACAGAAGGCCACUUUUUAUUAGGCCUAAAAAAUAUUUCAAUUAUGCUAAUGUAAUUGAAAUAUUCCUAAUAAAAAUAACAUUGAUCCAAAUGCUAUGAAACUUUUUUUUUUUGCGUUUGGCUCAAAUCAAGCCAGUAUGGGAAAAAGAUGAAUUGAUCCUACUGAGAAAAAUAACAACAACAACCUGCAAAAAUCACUUAGUUGUUGAAGCGACAACCUUAUUCACCAAAGUAUGAUAAGGAAACAUCAAGGCGUGUAUGUCCUUGUGGAAUGCAAUGAAAGUGACCCUGCUCACUAAUGUGAUUGCAAGAAGGUUUUCUUAGAUAGAAUAUGUGAGAUUAUUUGAUAUCUCAUUCAACCUUAAAGAUUGAGAUCUUUAUAAGCAGACCUUUGAGUCAGAUAUUGAGAGAGAAACAAUUUCCCCUAACUUCCAAACAAGUACAUGGGGGUAGGGGGACCGAUUCAUCCUUAAAUAUUGGAGAGACGGGUUCCUCUUUUAUUGGUUUGACCCUAACUAAAUUCUUUUGGACACCUCUUGUGCCUCAUGUUGAUGAGACAUAUGGGUAAUAGUCGUAGGUUCUGGUAGGGUGGCCCAGGCCCUAAUCGGGUGACCUGAGAGCGUGUCUGUCAAACUCUUUCACAAUUCCUUUAGGUUUGUUCAGACCAUGGGUUGUUCCUCUUAUGGGUUCAAUAAGUCUGGCUUAGUCCAUAGUCCCUCAAACACGAACCUAGGAAGGUGAGGUGAUUAAUUUGGUUAAUUUAGGUCAAAAUCAGAAGGAAAUAAGAAUGUUGGUUGAAAAGGAACACAAACUAUGUAAAGGAAAACCCUACCAUGAAAUAUAAUUUUUUUGAAAUUUAGGUUUCAAGGAUGACUCUUGACUUCAAAAUAACUCUCCAUGAUAAAGGAUCAUCAAAGAUUGAUAUAUAAUUGAUGGAUUUCAUGAGAGGAAAUUAGAGAAUAAAAAUCAAGGUUUUUGGAGAAGAAUUUAAUGUAGAAUGAAAUAUGAGAAAAAUGUUGAACCUUAUAAAACACCAACGACAUACCCAAAAUACACAAGCUUUGCGCAUACAAAACCUUGAUGUGUUGCACUCAAAGUACAAAUAACACAUAAGACAAACCCGCUAACUUUGAGUAUACGAACUCUAGAUGCACAUAUGCAUGACUUUCUAAAUUUGAAUCUGAAAGCCACUAUAUUUUCGUACACUAGCUUAUCUUGCGCCCUAGUUUUUGCAGUGCUGAUCAAAGUUUUAAGCUCUAACUUUUUACUAUACUCGUCAAGCUUAUCUCACGCCCUUAUUUUUUACAGCGCGUAUAAAAGUUUUAAGCUCUCACUUUUUUUUAUACUCGUCUUGUCAUGUCCUUUUCUUUUUUUCUAUGUUUUUGCAAGGGGGAUCUAAACAACUGGACAGGUUUGUUUUCUACCUUUAGUAGAACACUCAUUUUAUAUACGAGUGUUUUUAAAAAUUGAGAUAUUAUGAGAGAUUAAAUUAUAAUUAGUAAAAUAUUAAAUUACAAUGAUGAAAAAAAAUUAUGUGAGCACUUUUGAAGUGUGAUAAAGGACAAAUAUGCCGCAUUCAUCUAUUUAAGAGACAUCAAGUAAUUAUUUAACUAUUUAAAAUAAUUUUUUUUUAUAAUAAAUGCUCAAAACUAUUUUAUUAUUUAUAGGAGAACAUAAACUUUAUACAUUAAAAGAAAAACCAAAUCAUAUUGUCUUUUCUAACUUUGCAAAAAGAAAAAACAUGGCUAAAAUUCACAUGUUUAUUUAUGCCAUGAUAAUAUUUCUCUCCCUAUCUCUUGUUGCAGCAGAACAUUUCCGUAAGAUAUUUUUCAUACUAUUCAAAAUUCCUUAUUUAUGUUUAAGUAAUAUAAUUGUAUUUUCUCUAUUUUAAUUGCAGCACUUGAACAUGAAUGUAGAAUUGAUCAAGAUUGUACAAGGGUUGUUGAAUAUCCUUUGGUUAUGAGGUGCAUUGGUUACAGAUGUGUAGUUAUUAACACUAAUGAUGUUGCGCCCAAACCCAAGGGAAUGCACAAAUUUUAUGAAGGGAAUAAAUGAUCUCUUCUACAAGAAAAAUAUUUGCAGUAUAUGGAUACCAAUAAUUAUUAUUUUAUUUACACUUUAUUAACCUCAGAGUUAUGACUUGUAUUCUAAGAUGACAAUAAUCUAAUAAAAUAACGCAAUAAAGAGUAUUAUUUAGAUUAUCUUAUUUUCUUUAAAAAAUUUAUACACCUUUAUAAACUCCAAUUUAGGGAGUCACAUUUUCAAACUCAAUUCUUAUAAAACUAUGUUUAAUAUAUAGGUUGAGUACAAUUUUAGUUUACUUCAGAACCUAAAAUUUUAUAAAUUUUUAUUUUCUU
rnacentral:lncRNA from 1 species